AGAGUUCUUCGGAAUUUGAGACCGGCGCACGGGUGCGUAACGCGUAUGCAAUCUGCCUUCCACAGAGGGAUAGCCCAGAGAAAUUUGGAUUAAUACCUCAUAGCAUUACAGGAUGGCAUCAUCCGGUAAUUAAAGUCACAACGGUGGAAGAUGAGCAUGCGUCCCAUUAGCUAGUUGGUAAGGUAACGGCUUACCAAGGCGACGAUGGGUAGGGGUCCUGAGAGGGAGAUCCCCCACACUGGUACUGAGACACGGACCAGACUCCUACGGGAGGCAGCAGUGAGGAAUAUUGGUCAAUGGGUGCAAGCCUGAACCAGCCAUGCCGCGUGCAGGAUGACGGUCCUAUGGAUUGUAAACUGCUUUUGUACGGGAAGAAACACUGAUUCGUGAAUCAGCCUGACGGUACCGUAAGAAUAAGGAUCGGCUAACUCCGUGCCAGCAGCCGCGGUAAUACGGAGGAUCCAAGCGUUAUCCGGAAUCAUUGGGUUUAAAGGGUCUGUAGGCGGUCUUGUAAGUCAGUGGUGAAAGCCCAUCGCUCAACGGUGGAACGGCCAUUGAUACUGCAGGACUUGAAUUACCCGGGAAGUAACUAGAAUAUGUAGUGUAGCGGUGAAAUGCUUAGAUAUUACAUGGAAUACCAAUU
rnacentral:rRNA from 1 species